UCAGAGACGAUGAGGGAUGUCCUGCUUGC
rnacentral:piRNA from 1 species